rnacentral:rRNA from 1 species
AGGCAGCAGUGGGGAAUAUUGCACAAUGGGCGCAAGCCUGAUGCAGCCAUGCCGCGUGUAUGAAGAAGGGCCUUCGGGUUGUAAAGUACUUUCAGCAGUGAGGAAGGUGGUGCAGUUAAUAGCUGUAUCAUUUGACGUUAGCUGCAGAAGAAGCACCGGCUAACUCCGUGCCAGCAGCCGCGGUAAUACGGAGGGUGCGAGCGUUAAUCGGAAUUACUGGGCGUAAAGCGCAUGCAGGUGGUUUGUUAAGUCAGAUGUGAAAGCCCCGGGGCUCAACCUCGGAAUUGCAUUUGAAACUGGCAGACUAGAGUACUGUAGAGGGGGUAGAAUUUCAGGUGUAGCGGUGAAAUGCGUAGAGAUCUGAAGGAAUACCAGUGGCGAAGGCGGCCCCCUGGACAAAGACUGACGCUCAGAUCGCGAAAGCGUGGGGAGCAAACAGGAUUAGAUACCCUUGUAG